AGAACUCCGCCCAUCUCAUGUGCCUCUGGCUCUGGAGCUUCGCCGUGCGCCAAUACUCUAGGUUCUUGUGGUCCGUGCGGACCUGCACGGUGUGCUUGGCUCCGAUGAGGAAGUGCCGCCACGCCUUGAAAGCCGCGUGGAUGGCCAGCAACUCCCUGUCCCAGAUGGUGUAGUUCUGUUCCGACUUGCUGAGCUUCCGGGAAUAGAAAGCGCAGGGCCUCCAGUUCUCUUGCGAAUCUUCCUGCAAGAGGACGGCCCCCACUGCUCUGUCAGAUGCGUCAGUCUCAACCCGCAUGGGCCUGCCGGGAUUCACGUGUAGCAGCUGGUCUUCGGACGCGAAGAGACUCUUAAGUCUCCUGAAGGACUGCUCCGCCUGGUCCGUCCAGGUGAACUUUUUCUUCUUGGAACUGAGGGUGUCCGUGAUAGCUGCCGUCUCUUUCGCGAAACCCCUGAUGAACUUGCGGUAAAAGUUGGCGAAGCCGACAAACCGCUGGACCUCCUUCCGAUUGCGCGGGCUAUUCCAGUCCAACACCGCGCGGACCUUGGCGCUGUCCAUGGCUAAUCCCUUGUCGGACAGCCGGUAGCCCAGGAAAUCCACCUCCGUCACGUCGAACUGGCACUUCUCCAGCUUGGCGUAGAGUCUGUGCUCCCGUAGCCUCUGCAGGACCUCCUUUACGUCUCUUUCGUGAGUCUCCUGCGAUUCCGAGAAGAUCAGAAUAUCGUCGAGAAAACAUACGCACUUCUUGUAGAGGAGUCCUGCUAGCACGUGGUGCAUGAAUGCUUGAAAACAGUGGGAGCCACCUUGGAGACCAAGCGGCAUAACUCUGUAUUCAUAGGUGCCCAGCGGCGUGAACAUGGCCGUCUUCCACUCGUCACCUUCCCUCAUGCGUAUGAGAUUGUAGGCUCCGCGUAGAUCCAACUUGGUGAAGAUCCUCCCCUUCCUCACCGUCGCGAGCAGGUCGUCAAUCUUGGGCAUGGGGAAAGCCUUGGGUUUUGUCAUCGAGUUUAUGGCCCUAUAGUCCACAAUGAGCCGUUUUUGGGGCGUGUCCUUCUUCUUCACGAAAAACACAGGACUGCCCCCACUGCCUUGGAUUCUCGGAUGAAUCCCCGCUUCAAAUUGUGAUCUAUGAACUCCCUGAGCUCCUGCAUCUCAUCUUCAGACAUGGAAUACAGCUUCGCAGUCGGCAGCGUCGCCCCUGGUAAGAGGUCAAUUGCACAGUCGUAGGGCCGGUGGGGUGGUAAUUGGUCAGCUUCCUUCUCGCAGAAGACCUCCAAAAACCCCUUGUACUUGUGGGGCACUGCCUGCACCAUGCCUAGAUGCAGCUGUUGCCCUUCCUCCUGGCCCUCCUCGUCCUGGCCGAUCUGGAUGCAAUGUUGUGCACAGUAGGACGAGCCAAAGGUGAGCUGCCGCUGGUACCACGCCAAGGAUGGGCUGUGUCUAUCCAGCCAACUCAUGCCUAACACUAUGGGCGUGUCUGACAGUUGGGUGACAUUGAAACUGAUGACCUCGCGAUGAUUCCCAAUUUUCAGCAGCAUGGGUGGCGUCUGUUGUACCACUUGCCCACCCAGCAACUUCCUGCCAUCUACAGUGACCACAUUCAGAGGCAGCGUGGCUGGUAGUAGCGCUAUGCGAUGCUGCUUGACGAACUGCACCCCCGAAGUCUGCGUUGCUCCCUGAGUCAAUCGUAAUGGGGACUUCCAGGGUGAGUCCAUUAGGCAGCUGGAGAGUAGCAGUGAGCUGCACCACUGGCUUAGGUGGUAAGGGGUCUGUAGGCUGCAAAGCGCUGGGGACUGCUUCACUGACUUGCCUGGCGGAGCCCCAGCGUCUCUCCCUCCAACCAGGCAUUCUCGUUUCCCUGAAACUGCUCCCCUUGGAAAGCUUCCCCUGUUACUGUUGCUAAGGCUGCAGUGUGCUUCUGGAGCCUCUGGGGACACUCUUUAGCCAUGUGCCGUGCACUGUCACAGAUGUAACACUUCCUGGUCCCUCUAGGAGGCUUCGCUUUGACUGCUCCUGACGCUGAGGCUCCGGCAGCUGUCUGAGCCUUUGCACCACCCAGUUCCAUCGGUUCUUCGCCCGCUGCCAGCACAGGCGAAAGGCUUGAACGUUCCAAGUCCCUGGAAGGAAAAGGAGGCGCUCUAGCUGGUGGGCGGACGUGACGCCCCUCCUCCCUGUGCCAAGGGCGUUCUUCUUGGCGCACCCCUAUCGUGAGUGCCCUCUGCACGACUUCUGCUAGGGUUUGAGGUCUGUCCCCCUAGCCAGCUCAUCUUUCACUGAGCCAUGAAGCCCUUCCCAAAACAAGUCCCUCACUGCCAGGGAGUCCUUUUCCCAGCCCAGCACAUUCAGCAAUGCAAAAAAGCGAGAAUGGUACUGACGCACUGUAGCCUUGCCCUGCCGCAAUCCAUGCAUCUCCUGGCGUGCCACAUCAACGUCAACAGUAGAUUGGAAGCAAGCGUCCAUGGCUUUGAGAAAUUCAUCAGAGUCCCUGCGUGCAAGACCAUCUUCGCGCCACAAAUUGCGUAACCAGUUUCUUGCUUCCCCAUGCAGAUGAGACACAAUAAACCCCACUUUUUCCUCCUCAUCUUUGAAGUCUUUUCGAAGCAAAUGCAGUGCGUAUACGACGUCUGCUCUGAAAUUGGGAUAAUGCUUCAGGUUCCCAUCGAAGUGGGCUACUAAAUUGCCCCCCCUCCGUCCGAGUCCGAUUCCCUCUGAUCUGGACCCCGGGAACCCCUCUCUGCACGCCCGAUCCCACCUGGCUUGCAGAUCCUGGCAUCGCGCUUCUGCUUCAGCAACUGUCUUCUGAGAAACCACGACAGCAGUGGAGAGCUCGGUGACUGCGUUUUGCAGGGACGCUAUCUGCUCCUCAGUAGUCAUUGCUGCCAAACUUCGUGAGCUGUGCAACAAAAUGUUGCGGUUUUUUGUUUUGAGAGGGGACUUACUGUCAAGGCUGCCUCAAGUCUUAGCUCACAAAAGACCAACGCCUAUGUCUUCUUAUAUACAAAGGUGUUUAUUGCAGUUCAUGGUUUGCUUGACAUCCUAGGCGCGCAGCCUUACGUCUCUUACGCUAGACCGCUGAAGUCCCCUCUGAGUCAGUCCCUCCCCUGCACCAAUUUAAGAGACUUGCGCUGCUCCACCUCUUUCUCUCCUUCCUUUUCCGCAGGGUCCUUCUGCCCGCUGGGGUUUCGCCCCUCCUGGAUUCCUCUGACGCGGAAUCAGACUGCUCUUCCCCCCCUCCUGCGGGCUUUGGGACCUGGCCCCUCCUCCGGGCUCCCUGCACUUCCGCGCGCCUCUACAUUUGAACUAGGCGCGCGCGCCAACCCUCUAACUUUCCUUUUGACAGUUACACUACUCCCUUCACUGCUCCCCUCCCUUCCGGGAGGGCGGCUUGCUCUGACCCCCUCCUUUCUCUGCUGCUGGAGCUGCUUCCUCUGACACACUGGAAACUCCACCCCCUUCGCUGCACUCUGGUGGGGAGGCUGGUCCUGACGCCCAGCUGCCACUUUGGGAUCCUCCGCUGGCACCCUGCUCCUGACACUUCCCCCCUGGGGCUCCCUGGCCUUGACCACCGGCGCCCCCUUCUGGGAAUCCUCUGAUUCGCUGGAAAGACUCAUGGAAUCUCUUGAGUCAUUGUCAUCCUCUUCCUCGCUGGCUUGGAAUUCCUCCCCAUCGCUCUCCAUCUCCUGCCUACCCUGUGCCUCUCUCCCUGAACCCCUGACA